CUCUUGAGAGCGGCGGACGGGUGAGUAAUGCCUAGGAAUCUGCCUGGUAGUGGGGGAUAACGUUCGGAAACGGACGCUAAUACCGCAUACGUCCUACGGGAGAAAGCAGGGGACCUUCGGGCCUUGCGCUAAUAGAUGAGCCUAAGUCGGAUUAGCUAGUUGGUGGGGUAAAGGCCUACCAAGGCGACGAUCUGUAACGGGUCUGAGAGGAUGAUCCGUCACACUGGGACUGAGACACGGCCCAGACUCCUACGGGAGGCAGCAGUGGGGAAUAUUGGACAAUGGGGGGAACCCUGAUCCAGCCAUGCCGCGUGUGUGAAGAAGGCCUUUUGGUUGUAAAGCACUUUAAGCGAGGAGGAGGCUCCUAUAGAUAAUACCUAUAGAGAGUGGACGUUACUCGCAGAAUAAGCACCGGCUAACUCUGUGCCAGCAGCCGCGGUAAUACAGAGGGUGCAAGCGUUAAUCGGAUUUACUGGGCGUAAAGCGUACGUAGGUGGUCUUUUAAGUCGGAUGUGAAAUCCCUGAGCUUAACUUAGGA
rnacentral:rRNA from 1 species